rnacentral:rRNA from 1 species
UUACGGGAGGCAGCAGUGGGGAAUGUUGGUCAAUGGAGGCAACUCUGAACCAGCCAUGCCGCGUGCAGGAAGAAGGCGUUCUGCGUUGUAAACUGCUUUUAUACAGGAAGAAAAGACUACGUGUAGUUCUAUGACGGUACUGUACGAAUAAGGACCGGCUAACUCCGUGCCAGCAGCCGCGGUAAUACGGAGGGUCCAAGCGUUGUCCGGAUUUAUUGGGUUUAAAGGGUGCGUAGGCGGUUUUUUAAGUCAGAGGUGAAAGCCCACAGCUUAACUGUGGAACUGCCUUUGAUACUGGAAGACUUGAGUACACUAGAGGUAGGCGGAAUUUAUGAUGUAGCGGUGAAAUGCAUAGAUAUCAUAAAGAACUCCUAUAGCGAAGGCAGCUUACUGGAGUGUAACUGACGCUGAGGCACGAAAGCGUGGGUAGCGAACAGGAUUAGAUACCCCGGUAGUCC